ACAAAUGGCAGCCGCCAGCAACUCAAGCAUACCGCUGUGCCCGCGGGUUAAAAGUAAAAACACAAACAAUUGUACACCUCUGCCCGCUGUCUUGCUGGUAAACAACUUUACUUAAUUGCAAUUUCCAAGACGCUGGAGAGUUUAGCCUACAGCUAAAUUAGUUAGCGCAUGCUUUUUUUUGCGAUUGAUCUGUUGGAGCCUCCAACGCGGGUGAAGGAUAAUGCUUCUUCUCAUUCGGAGUCCAAAGCCAAGAACUGCGAUUUGUGUCCUGCGAUGAGAGCCAAUAUCUAACGAAACAAACAGCGGGCUCUGAUGCUGAGGCAAGCCCUACUGGCCAGCAGACAAUCGGCAGGAGAAGGGGGUGGAACCUCGGCUAAAGUCACCAAGACAGUCGACUCUGGAGAAGGGUUCUUCAUUGAUGGAGAGCGACAGGAGGAGCAAAGGACAAAGAAAGUUGUGCAUCAACCAGGUAUGUGCAUUAAUAGUCAGUCAAAUAUGACAGGGGGAAGUAUUCACAUUUGUUGCAUGAUGUAAAUAUAGUUACAUCUUAUCUGCAGAUCCUCUGCAUGUCCGGUGUAACAGAGAAAUAUGCAUUGUUGGUUCAUGUGCGGCCCUUUGUGGAUUCAUGUAAUUCCACAUGCCAGUUGCUGAGUGGAGUCAGUUUCAGGUAUUCCAGACGUCCCCUAUUAUAAUGGAAGUUCAUAAUACAUUAUUUAUGGCACAGUGACAACCGUCCAACCACUAUCUGAAUGACUGUAGAUCAGUUUUUACUGACAAGACACCUUGGCUGACCUCUCCCUCCUAGCACUCUCUCUGCACUGCCUGUGAUUCGAGAUAAGUGUGUGUGUGCUAAAAUGACUAGAAUGUAAUCAUUUUAAAUGUACUAGUAGUGUAUUGGCAGUGUUGAGCCUGGGUGCCAGUCUACUGACAGUUCCGUAAGUAGUUUUCAGGAGAGCAGAGGCUAACUGGUGUUCAGGUUUAGUGUUGCGCUCUGCUGCUCUCUCUGACUCCGUCCUCCCCCUAGCCCCCGGUGAUGGAGACUGACUAUCUGCUGUGUGAUGACUGUGACACGCCGGUUGAUUGUUUCCUACCUCAGCGAACGGCUUCGAUCUGGCAGUCUGUGACAACUGCAGGCUAAGCAGCUCUACCUACUGAAGGACUGUGACCUGGACCAGAGGGAGCCAGUGCUGAGGUUUGUCCUGAAGAAGAACCCCACACAACCCUCACCGGGGAGACAUCAAACUCUACCUUGAGCUGCAGGUUUGCGUGCUCCUUAGGAGGCCAACGAGUCCAGAGAGGAGAACAGGGAGGUGCAGAAGCGCAUCAACAAAAAGAGCUGUUGUCGUGCAGUGAGGACCAGCGUGUGGACAAAGGACACCAGUGCUCACCGGCACAAGUACCGGCCCUGAGGAACUAGUGGAUGAAGAGGAGGAUCUCUACAGGAAGGCCUGUAAACACCUGUGAACACAAACUGACCUAUGAGGAGAUGUAGCCCUCGAGUCUUUUAAAUCAGAGGCUCACAGGGGGAGUUUUGUGGGUCUCUGGUAAUACAUCCGACAUGUAAAACUGAGAUUCAAAUGAGUGACACAUCAUACUUCUCACAUGCCUUGAAGCUGAAGCAAGGAGGCCUACCUGAAAUUGUCUCAGCACAUGCCAUACACAAAGCCACCGCAAGAGGGCAUUAAUACAUCGACACAUUUUUACAGAGAAACGUACUGCUCAGAAGCUGGCGACGGCUGCAAUGUUAUGUUAUCAAUUGUUUAGCAUGUUAACUUCCAUUUUGUAUUUGUCACUUCUAAGAUUUAAUAAUGUGUAGAAGGAUCUGCAUGUGCAAAUAAAAUAAAUAUAUUUUUCCAUAA